rnacentral:rRNA from 1 species
GACGAACGCUGGCGGCGUGCUUAACACAUGCAAGUCGAACGGUGAAGCGCCUUCCUUUUUGGUUGGUGUGGUUGCGUGGCGAACGGGUGAGUAACACGUGAGUAACCUGCCCCCUUCUUCUGGAUAACCGCAUGAAAGUGUGGCUAAUACAGGAUAUUCUGGGGCUUUCGCAGGGUGGGUCUGGGACAGCUAUUGUUUCUGGGGGGGAUGGGCUCGCGGCCUAUCAGCUUGUUGGGGGUGUGAUGGCCUAUCAAGGCGGGGACGGGUAGCCGGCCUGGGAGGGUGGACGGCCACACUGGGAGUGAGACAACGCUGAGACUGAGAUGCGAGGCAGAAGUGUGGAAGAUGGCACAAUGGGCGAAAGUCUGAUGUAGGGAGGCGGCGGGAGGGAUGGAGGCGUUCGGGUUGUGAACCUCUUUCGGUAGUGAAGCGCGCCUGCCUGGGUUGUGGGGGGGUUGACGGUAGCGGGUGAAGAAGCGCCGGCUAACUACGUG